rnacentral:tRNA from 1 species
UGGCUCAGCGGAUAGAGCGUUGGCCUGCAGACUCAAGGGUACCGGGUUCGAUUCCGGU